GAUGAACGCUGGCGGCGUGCCUAAUACAUGCAAGUCGAACGCUUCUUCCCUACCGAGUGCUUGCACUCAAUUGGAAAGAGGAGUGGCGGACGGGUGAGUAACACGUGGGUAAACUACCCAACAGCGGGGGAUAACCCUAGGAAAUAGGUGCUAAUACUGCAUAACAGUUUAUGCAGCAUGGCAAAAGAGUGUAAGGCGCUUUCGGGUGUCGAUGAUGGAUGGACCCGCGGUGCAUUAGCUAGUUGGUGAGGUAACGGCUCACCAAGGCCACGAUGCAUAGCCGACCUGAGAGGGUGAUCGGCCACACUGGGACUGAGACACGGCCCAGACUCCUACGGGAGGCAGCAGUAGGGAAUCUUCGGCAAUGGACGAAAGUCUGACCGAGCAACGCCGCGUGAGUGAAGAAGGUCUUCGGAUCGUAAAACUCUGUUGUUAGAGAAGAACAAGGACGUUAGUAACUGAACGUCCCCUGACGGUAUCUAACCAGAAAGCCACGGCUAACUACGUG
rnacentral:rRNA from 1 species